GCCGGGUGCAGAGGGCCAAUUAUCAGUGGUGAUCGGAGCCAGGCACUCCGGCCCCAUCAGCUCAUGGGCAGGGAAGACGCAGGGAAGGGGACAUGGGGACUUCUUGCAAUGGAGCAGUUGACAGAAUCAGAACUACCUGCCAGGGGGCAAAAUUAGAGCCAGAAAUGAGUCUGGAGCUACAUGGACCUAGGAAGAAUAUUUAGAAGCCCUGCCCUCAUGAACUGGGAAGGAAGAAAAGACACCUUCCCCCACAACGCCACAGGAGCUAUCAAAUGUGCUCUUUUUAAAGUCAUUUCUAUUCUUUAAAAAAAUGCACCAUUGUGGUGCAGCCACUGUGAAAAGCAGCAUGGCGCUUCCUCAAACAAUUAAAAACAGAAUUACUCUGUGAUCUAACAAUUCCAAAAUGUGUACGGCCAUGUCCAUUUUAG
rnacentral:lncRNA from 1 species